rnacentral:lncRNA from 1 species
AUUAUCAAACUAAAUACAUGUCCAAUACCUGCAUAUUAUAUCUUGUAAUUCUUUAAGUAGGAUAAUUAAAUAGCAAUUCUUUAAAUUAUAAAUUCAGCAAACACUACCUUAUAGUUGGGAAUCUCCUCCUUCAAUUCAAAUGUUUAGUCAAAAACCACAUCAAAAAAUUGAGUUGUGAGGCCAAGGCAUCACGAGCUGCAACAAGAGGCAGACGAGACGAGAGGUGGAGGAGAAAUUUGAUUAUUAGGUUUUAUGUUUUUGGUUUUCAAG